rnacentral:rRNA from 1 species
AGAGUUUGAUCCUGGCUCAGGACGAACGCUGGCGGCGCGCCUAACACAUGCAAGUCGAACGAGCGAGAGAGAGCUUGCUUUCUCGAGCGAGUGGCGAACGGGUGAGUAACGCGUGAGGAACCUGCCUCAAAGAGGGGGACAACAGUUGGAAACGACUGCUAAUACCGCAUAAGCCCACGGUGCCGCAUGGCACAGAGGGAAAAGGAGCAAUCCGCUUUGAGAUGGCCUCGCGUCCGAUUAGCUAGUUGGUGAGGUAAUGGCCCACCAAGGCAACGAUCGGUAGCCGGACUGAGAGGUUGAACGGCCACAUUGGGACUGAGACACGGCCCAGACUCCUACGGGAGGCAGCAGUGGGGAAUAUUGCACAAUGGGGGAAACCCUGAUGCAGCGACGCCGCGUGGAGGAAGAAGGUCUUCGGAUUGUAAACUCCUGUUGUUGGGGAAGAUAAUGACGGUACCCAACAAGGAAGUGACGGCUAACUACGUGCCAGCAGCCGCGGUAAAACGUAGGUCACAAGCGUUGUCCGGAAUUACUGGGUGUAAAGGGAGCGCAGGCGGGAAGACAAGUUGGAAGUGAAAUCUAUGGGCUCAACCCAUAAACUGCUUUCAAAACUGUUUUUCUUGAGUAGUGCAGAGGUAGGCGGAAUUCCCGGUGUAGCGGUGGAAUGCGUAGAUAUCGGGAGGAACACCAGUGGCGAAGGCGGCCUACUGGGCACCAACUGACGCUGAGGCUCGAAAGUGUGGGUAGCAAACAGGAUUAGAUACCCUGGUAGUCCACACCGUAAACGAUGAUUACUAGGUGUUGGAGGAUUGACCCCUUCAGUGCCGCAGUUAACACAAUAAGUAAUCCACCUGGGGAGUACGACCGCAAGGUUGAAACUCAAAGGAAUUGACGGGGGCCCGCACAAGCAGUGGAGUAUGUGGUUUAAUUCGACGCAACGCGAAGAACCUUACCAAGUCUUGACAUCCCUUGACAGACAUAGAAAUAUGUUUUCUCUUCGGAGCAAGGAGACAGGUGGUGCAUGGUUGUCGUCAGCUCGUGUCGUGAGAUGUUGGGUUAAGUCCCGCAACGAGCGCAACCCUUAUGGUCAGUUACUACGCAAGAGGACUCUGGCCAGACUGCCGUUGACAAAACGGAGGAAGGUGGGGAUGACGUCAAAUCAUCAUGCCCUUUAUGACUUGGGCUACACACGUACUACAAUGGCGUUAAACAAAGAGAAGCAAGACCGCGAGGUGGAGCAAAACUCAGAAACAACGUCCCAGUUCGGACUGCAGGCUGCAACUCGCCUGCACGAAGUCGGAAUUGCUAGUAAUCGUGGAUCAGCAUGCCACGGUGAAUACGUUCCCGGGCCUUGUACUCACCGCCCGUCA